CAGCAUCCGCGGUAAUACAGAGGGUGCGAGCGUUAAUCGGAUUUACUGGGCGUAAAGCGUGCGUAGGCGGCUUCUUAAGUCGGAUGUGAAAUCCCUGAGCUUAACUUAGGAAUUGCAUUCGAUACUGGGAAGCUAGAGUAUGGGAGAGGAUGGUAGAAUUCCAGGUGUAGCGGUGAAAUGCGUAGAGAUCUGGAGGAAUACCGAUGGCGAAGGCAGCCAUCUGGCCUAAUACUGACGCUGAGGUACGAAAGCAUGGGGAGCAAACAGGAUUAGAGACCCGUGUAGUCCCUGUCUCUUAUAC
rnacentral:rRNA from 1 species